rnacentral:rRNA from 1 species
UACGUAGGGUGCAGGCGUUAAUCGGAAUGACUGGGCGUAAAGGGUGCGCAGGCGGCCUGUUAAGACAGAUGUGAAAUCCCCGGGCUCAACCUGGGAAUGGCAUUUGUGACUGGAAGGCUAGAGUGUGUCAGAGGGGGGUAGAAUUCCACGUGUAGCAGUGAAAUGCGUAGAGAUGUGGAGGAAUACCGAUGGCGAAGGCAGCCCCCUGGGAUAACACUGACGCUCAUGCACGAAAGCGUGGGGAGCAAACAGG